UCUAAUAAUCUGUGUUGAACUCUGAAACAUUUCUUUUAGGAACGAAGAGGAAAGUUAGUGAAACUGAUUCAAAGGCAGAGGAUAUGAAAUCUGAAGCUGGUAAGAGCAGUGCUGCAAGUGAUUCUUUAGAUGUAGAGCAAGAGGCUGAAGGCAAAAAUGAUGGAAAGUUGACAGCGAAAGACGAACCGGGGAAAUUGCCUCAAAAGGUAGCAGUUAUUAAAUAUGUCAGUUAGGUUAAUGAAAUAUUUCACAUCAAAACGUUAAGUUUUUUCCACACUUCCAUCAUGACAAACUGAGC